CAGGAAAGAGCCGGUAAAGAGGGGCAGCUGGCAGAGUAAGGAUGAUGACGGUUCAGCGUCCGGAUGAAGUUUCGUGCCUCCGUGUUCCUGUUUCAUCAUACUGCAGUACACCUGCGCAAAUGUUGCCAGUGACACACGCACGUGGAUUUUGCUCAUGACAUAUCGUGUUAUAAUUUCACACAAAAAGUAUUGUUGAGCUGUGGUUACCAGUAUUCGAAAAAAUAAUAAUUGCCGGAAUAUGUCAACCGAACUGAAUUCAAGUAUUGAUAAUAUGACGGUUACCGGUGGUGAGGACGACAUAGUCACCCCAUGGGCAGUCGAAAGUAAAAGUGAUGGUGGAAUCGAUUGCGAUAAAUUAAUUCAACGAUUUGGUAGUUCAAAAAUCGAUGAUGAACUUUUGGAACGUUUUACCAAAAUAACAGGAAAACCGGCACAUCAUUUUCUCAGAAGGGGAAUAUUUUUCUCUCAUCGGGACAUGCACACGGUUUUGAAUCUUUACGAACAAGGGAAACCAUUCUAUCUCUACACAGGAAGAGGGCCAAGUUCUGACGCUAUGCACUUGGGCCAUUUGAUUCCAUUUGUUUUUUGCAAAUGGUUGCAGGACGUUUUUAACGUUCCACUAGUAAUACAACUGACUGACGAUGAGAAAUUCAUAUGGAAGAAUCUGAAAAUGGAAGAAGCCAUCAAGCUGUCUUACACCAAUGCUAAAGACAUAAUAGCGUGUGGCUUUGAUUUGAAGAAGACUUUCAUUUUCUCAAAUCUCGAGCACAUUGGCAAUAAUCCAGCGUUUUAUCAGAAUAUGAUAAGAAUACAGAGAUCUGUUACUUUCAAUCAAGUCAAAGGAAUUUUUGGCUUUGGUGAUAGCGAUCCUAUUGGAAAAAUCAGUUUCCCUCCCACGCAAGCGGCACCUGCCAUCUCCAGUACUUUCCCCUUCAUUUUUGGCAAUGCCAAAGUUCCAUGCCUCAUCCCUUGUGGGAUCGAUCAAGAUCCUUACUUCAGAAUGACCAGAGACAUUGCCCCUAAAUUGGGAUAUCCCAAACCAGCUCUCUUACACUCUUCCUUCUUUCCUGCUCUCCAAGGAUCUAAAACAAAAAUGUCUGCCAGCGAUAUCAAUUCGGCUAUCUUCCUCACCGAUACUCCUAAACAAAUUAAAAACAAAGUUAACAAACACGCAUUUUCUGGCGGUCGAGCAACCGUCGAGGAGCACAGACAAUUUGGUGGCAAUUGCGAAGUUGAUAUUUCUUACCAGUGGCUUAAAUUUUUCCUCGAAGAUGAUGAUAAACUUCAAAAACUCGAAAAGGGCUACACGAGCGGGGAAAUUCUAACGGGUGAAUUGAAGAAAGAGUUAAUAGAUGUGAUUCAAAAAAUGGUGUCGGAGCAUCAAGCAAUAAGAAGUACGAUAACUGACGAUGUAGUAAAACAAUACAUGGAGCCACGAGAUCUCGGUUUUGUACUUAGCAAAUGAUGCGUAAUAGGAAAAAGAAACUACCCCCAAGCGUCAAAUAUUUUUGCACGAUCUUUGCAGGCUCUAAGGAAGAAUGCACCACGUUAAGCGCUUAUGAUGUUAUUUAAAUACUGAAUAUUUUCUAAUUAAUUAAUGAAAUAUAUUUAUUAUGCUUUAAAAAGAAAAACGUUUGUCUAUGUGAAUACAAAAAUUAUUUUUAUCUAUAAUUAUCAUGAGGAAAAAAUUCUAGAAUUUAAGGAAAAUCUUUGAAGAAUCAGACAAAACCGCGCCAAUACGAUUGACGGUUUUCUCAUUCUGCAUCGCUCUACGCUGGAUAAGGUAUUUCAGGCUCAUACGUUACGAAAUUUAUGUAAUUUGUAUUACUCGUUACGCAUGCGCUACCUUGUUUGUCACAGCCAGUGUGCACAUAUGAAUGUGCACUGCUUUUCAUUCAAGGAUUAAACGUUGCGCGCGCGGCCCCCGACCGCUUCGAAGCAUUACUUCCGGUUUUCAACCGGAAACGAUCAUAUAACUACGAAGUAAAUAGUGACGAAUCGAUGAUAUUAUUAAAUUUUUACGCAUGUGAUAAAAUACAAUAUUAAUCGGUGUAUUUAUCGACCUAUUGUAUUCAGCAUACGACGUAAACAUUUACCUGAUUAGUUGGCGGGAAAACGAAAAGUUGAAUUCUCGAGCUCAGAAAUAAAAUAGCGGGAAGGAGAAGAGCGCAGUGACAGCGAAUGGUUUUCUGGUUUAUCGAAAAAAAGCAUGAAUACAAUUUUGGUGUUUACUUUUUACGAGAGAAUUUGAGUCUGAUAACAGAAUGAGCGUUUCCGGAAAGGUGAUAUAAUACAGCACUACACGCAAAUAUAUCGUAGCAGCUUCGCAUUAUAAGCAAGUAUGAACGGAAAAAACAGACAGCGAUUGGUCUAAAGUGACGACAUACUAAAGAUCUAUUAAUAAAAUGUGCGCAAGCGCAAUAACGUAAAACCCAGUGUGCGCGUCCGCCAUUCAUGCGAGUCGAUUUCGUUGUUUCCCUCCUCAGUGUGUGCGCGUUGGGCCCUGGGCAGAAAAAAAAACGAGAGAGUGUGAGAGAAAGAGAGAGAGAAAGCAAGAGAGCGCGACGACAUGGUGACGGUGAUAUUCGUGUGCCUUGACAAAAACAUGAGACGAGUCGAUUAGCACUCUCAUAUGACUCAAACGUUCAAUAUAACGCACGUACGGAGUAAUAAUGAUAAUCGGGAACGCUUGUCACACAUAAGAAGAGAGUAAAAAUAUCAUCGAAGCUAGACGUUGGAAGAUGCUGAUCAAAUAGAGGAAGAACGGAUCAUAUCGUGAGACAAGGUCGAGCGAAAGUGUUACAGGAAGAAAGAGAAAGGAGAUUAAAAACUCUGAAUAUAGGAUUUUAAGGGGGGAUACUAUGGGGACACUUUUGGACACGCCGAAUACAGAAAA
rnacentral:misc_RNA from 1 species